rnacentral:rRNA from 1 species
AUUGAACGCUGGCGACAGGCCUAACACAUGCAAGUCGAGCGCGAAAGUCUUCGGAUGAGUAAAGCGGCGAACGGGUGAGUAAUGCAUGGGAAUCUGCCUGGUAGUGGGGGACAACGUCUCGAAAGGGACGCUAAUACCGCAUACGCCUACGGGGGAAAGGGGGGAGUCUUCGGACCUCUCGCUAUCAGAUGAGCCCAUGUCAGAUUAGCUAGUUGGUGAGGUAAAGGCUCACCAAGGCGACGAUCUGUAACUGGUCUGAGAGGAUGAUCAGUCACACUGGAACUGAGACACGGUCCAGACUCCUACGGGAGGCAGCAGUGGGGAAUAUUGGACAAUGGGGGGCAACCCUGAUCCAGCCAUGCCGCGUGUGUGAAGAAGGCCCUAGGGUUGUAAAGCACUUUCAGUGGGGAGGAAAGGUUAUUCGACCUAAUACGUGAGUAGAUUGAUGUACCCACAGAAGAAGACACCGGCUAACU